rnacentral:sRNA from 1 species
AUUCGUUGAUUCUUCUU